UGUGGAAUAGUUCUCUUUUGUAACUGUGAUCCAAGAACGAAAUAGUAGUGCGCGCGUGUUUAAGUUGUAAAAGGUUUAUUGUUUGAAUAAUUGUUGGUGAAGUUCUUUUUAAUUUUGUGUUGUUUCAUUUCUUAUGAUAGGAUCUGUUCGAUGUUAUCCGUUAAAAUAAUUAUUGUUACAUGUUAAAUAGUACGGAAUUGUGUUAGUUGAAAAUCAUUUAGAACGUUAAAACCCCAUUCAACACACCACGAAGAAAUAACGACAGUGACAAACAAAUAUAAACCAAUUAUAGAAAAAGGUCCACGACAAAGGGACCUUUUUCUGUUGUGUUUAUUCACAGUUUUCGACAGUGCAGUGCCGCGGUGGAAGUGCCCGUUGAUCCGGCCUUGAUCCCGCUAUUUUGGAUGCCGGAGAUUUUCGGUCCGAAACAGUGCCGCCAUUGUUUUAGGCACGCGGGAUCAUCA